rnacentral:rRNA from 1 species
AUUGAACGCUGGCGGCAGGCCUAACACAUGCAAGUCGAGCGGCAGCGGGAAAGUAGCUUGCUACUUUUGCCGGCGAGCGGCGGACGGGUGAGUAAUGCCUGGGAAAUUGCCCAGUCGAGGGGGAUAACAGUUGGAAACGACUGCUAAUACCGCAUACGCCCUACGGGGGAAAGCAGGGGACCUUCGGGCCUUGCGCGAUUGGAUAUGCCAAGGUGGGAUUAGCUAGUUGGUGAGGUAAUGGCUCACCAAGGCGACGAUCCCUAGCUGGUCUGAGAGGAUGAUCAGCCACACUGGAACUGAGACACGGUCCAGACUCCUACGGGAGGCAGCAGUGGGGAAUAUUGCACAAUGGGGGAAACCCUGAUGCAGCCAUGCCGCGUGUGUGAAGAAGGCCUUCGGGUUGUAAAGCACUUUCAGCGAGGAGGAAAGGUUGGUGCCUAAUACGUAUCAACUGUGACGUUACUCGCAGAAGAAGCACCGGCUAACUCCGUGCCAGCAGCCGCCGUAAAAC